GGAGGGGUGACCGAGUGGUUGAAGGUACCGCUCUCGAAAAGCGGCAUGGGGCAACUCAUCGCGAGUUCGAAUCUCGCCUCCUCCG
rnacentral:tRNA from 1 species